UAGGGAAUCUUCGGCAAUGGGCGAAAGCCUGACCGAGCAACGCCGCGUGAGCGAUGAAGGCCUUCGGUCGUAAAGCUCUGUUGUUAAGGAAGAACAAGUACGAGAGUAACUGCUCGUACCUUGACGGUACUUAACGAGAAAGCCACGGCUAACUACGUGCCAGCAGCCGCGGUAAUACGUAGGUGGCGAGCGUUAUCCGGAAUUAUUGGGCGUAAAGCGCGCGCAGGGCGGGUUUCUUAAGUCUGAUGUGAAAGCCCACGGCUCAACCGUGGAGGGUCAUUGGAAACUGGGAAACUUGAGUGCAGAAGAGGAAAGCGGAAUUCCACGUGUAGCGGUGAAAUGCGUAGAGAUGUGGAGGAACACCAGUGGCGAAGGCGGCUUUCUGGGUCUGUAACUGACGCUGAGGCGCGAAAGCGUGGGGAGCAAACAGGAUUAGAUACCCUGGUAGUCCACGCCGUAAACGAUGAGUGCUAAGUGUUAGAGGGUUUCCGCCCUUUAGUGCUGAAGUUAACGCAUUAAGCACUCC
rnacentral:rRNA from 1 species